UUGAACGCUGGCGGCAGGCCUAACACAUGCAAGUCGAACGGUAACAGGAAGAAGCUUGCUUCUUUGCUGACGAGUGGCGGACGGGUGAGUAAUGUCUGGGAAACUGCCUGAUGGAGGGGGAUAACUACUGGAAACGGUAGCUAAUACCGCAUAACGUCGCAAGACCAAAGAGGGGGACCUUCGGGCCUCUUGCCAUCGGAUGUGCCCAGAUGGGAUUAGCUUGUUGGUGGGGUAACGGCUCACCAAGGCGACGAUCCCUAGCUGGUCUGAGAGGAUGACCAGCCACACUGGAACUGAGACACGGUCCAGACUCCUACGGGAGGCAGCAGUGGGGAAUAUUGCACAAUGGGCGCAAGCCUGAUGCAGCCAUGCCGCGUGUAUGAAGAAGGCCUUCGGGUUGUAAAGUACUUUCAGCGGGGAGGAAGGGAGUAAAGUUAAUACCUUUACUCAUUGACGUUACCCGCAGAAGAAGCACCGGCUAACUCCGUGCCAGCAGCCGCGGUAAUACGGAGGGUGCAAGCGUUAAUCGGAAUUACUGGGCGUAAAGCGCACGCAGGCGGUUUGUUAAGUCAGAUGUGAAAUCCCCGGGCUCAACCUGGGAACUGCAUCUGAUACUGGCAAGCUUGAGUCUCGUAGAGGGGGGUAGAAUUCCAGGUGUAGCGGUGAAAUGCGUAGAGAUCUGGAGGAAUACCGGUGGCGAAGGCGGCCCCCUGGACGAAGACUGACGCUCAGGUGCGAAAGCGUGGGGAGCAAACAGGAUUAGAUACCCUGGUAGUCCACGCCGUAAACGAUGUCGACUUGGAGGUUGUGCCCUUGAGGCGUGGCUUCCGGAGCUAACGCGUUAAGUCGACCGCCUGGGGAGUACGGCCGCAAGGUUAAAACUCAAAUGAAUUGACGGGGGCCCGCACAAGCGGUGGAGCAUGUGGUUUAAUUCGAUGCAACGCGAAGAACCUUACCUGGUCUUGACAUCCACAGAACUUUCCAGAGAUGGAUUGGUGCCUUCGGGAACUGUGAGACAGGUGCUGCAUGGCUGUCGUCAGCUCGUGUUGUGAAAUGUUGGGUUAAGUCCCGCAACGAGCGCAACCCUUAUCCUUUGUUGCCAGCGGUCCGGCCGGGAACUCAAAGGAGACUGCCAGUGAUAAACUGGAGGAAGGUGGGGAUGACGUCAAAUCAUCAUGCCAUUUAUGACCUGGGCUACACACGUACUACAAUGGCUAUAACAAAGAGAAGCGAAGCAGUGAUGUGGAGCAAAACUCAAAAAAGUAGUCUCAGUUCGGAUUGUAGGCUGAAAUUCGCCUACAUGAAGCCGGAAUUGCUAGUAAUGGCAGGUCAGCAUACUGCCGUGAAUACGUUCCCGGGCCUUGUACACACCGCCCGUCACACCAUGAGAGUUGGGAAUACCCGAAGCCUGUGAGCUAACUGUAAAGAGGCAGCAGUCGAAGGUAGAAUCAAUGAUUGGGGUG
rnacentral:rRNA from 1 species